rnacentral:rRNA from 1 species
UAGGGAAUCUUCCACAAUGGGCGCAAGCCUGAUGGAGCAACACCGCGUGAGUGAAGAAGGGUUUCGGCUCGUAAAGCUCUGUUGUUAAAGAAGAACACGUAUGAGAGUAACUGUUCAUACGUUGACGGUAUUUAACCAGAAAGUCACGGCUAACUACGUGCCAGCAGCCGCGGUAAUACGUAGGUGGCAAGCGUUAUCCGGAUUUAUUGGGCGUAAAGAGAGUGCAGGCGGUUUUUCUAAGUCUGAUGUGAAAGCCUUCGGCUUAACCGGAGAAGUGCAUCGGAAACUGGAUAACUUGAGUGCAGAAGAGGGUAGUGGAACUCCAUGUGUAGCGGUGGAAUGCGUAGAUAUAUGGAAGAACACCAGUGGCGAAGGCGGCUACCUGGUCUGCAACUGACGCUGAGACUCGAAAGCAUGGGUAGCGAACAGGAUUAGAUACCCUGGUAGUCCAUGCCGUAAACGAUGAGUGCUAGGUGUUGGAGGGUUUUCCGCCCUUCAGUGCCGGAGCUAACGCAUUAAGCACUCCGC